UUAGUGAUUAUGAACGGUUGCCUUCUGUGCUGGCUGCGGCAAGUGCACGUUGGUGACUUUCAUCCAACACCCUUGUGAACCUUUGGCCUCUUGCUAGCUUCGGCUGGCUGAGGAUUUACACAAACUCGCAUGUAUUUGAGGACCCAUUAUGUGCGCAAGCACUAAUUAUAUACAACUUUCAACAACGGAUCUCUUGGCUCUCGCAUCGAUGAAGAACGCAGCGAAAUGCGAUAAGUAAUGUGAAUUGCAGAAUUCAGUGAAUCAUCGAAUCUUUGAACGCACCUUGCACCCUUUGGUAUUCCGAAGGGUAUGCUCGUUUGAGUGUCAUUGUACUCUCACACUCCUAAUCGCUUUGGAUUGGGAGCGGUGGACUUGGGUGCUGCUGCUUGACCGUGGCUCACCUGAAAUAUGUUAGUGCACCUCCUGAUUGGACAUAGUACGGCGUGAUAAGUGUCUUCGCCGGCUCCUCGCAAAGAGGGUGGCCGAUUGGGAGCUCUGUGCUUCAAACUGUCUUCGGACAAUCUUCUGGCGACUUGACCUCAAAUCGAGUAGGACUACCCGCUGAACUUAAGCAUAUCAAUAAGCGGAGGAAAAGAAACUAACAAGGAUUCCCUUAGUAACGGCGAGUGAAGAGGGAAGAGCUCAAAUUUUGAAUCUGACGUCUUUGGCGUCCGAGUUGUAAUCUAGAGAAGUGUUUUCCGUUGCGGACCGUGCAUAAGUCUCC
rnacentral:sRNA from 1 species